rnacentral:snRNA from 1 species
AGCUUUGUGCAGUGGCAGUAUCAUAGCUAAUGAGGUUUAUCUGAGGCGCAAUUAUUGCUAAUUGAAUACUUUUCCCAAUACCCCACUGUGAUGACCUACCAUAUAGUUGGCACUGGCAAUUUUUGACAGCCUCUACAGAGA